CCGGCCUCAGCCGGCGCACCUGGCGGAGGAGGAACCUCGCGACGCGCUCUCGGGCAUCGGUUUCUCCCAGCAAAGCUUGGAGGGUUUAGCUGCGCGGAGAGCUCAGCGAGCUCUUCUGUGUCUGUUUGGGGCGUGUGGGCUCCGGGAGCGUGAGGACCGGGAAGCUAGGAGGCUCCUUCCCUUCUGGCGGCUCCCUCACUGAGACCGGGCGGUUUGGUUGCGGGGGAAGUGGAGACGAGCCACCCUUGACCUUUGACUGCAAGAACUCACCUUGAGCAGGAUAGAGGCACGUGGACGGUGACCCUCGGGAUGCAAUAAAUGCUGAGACAGAUCAGGUGUGCAAGGCACAGAGCUAGAGGCCAGAGGCCUUUCUUCUCCAACCUUCAGUCACCUCUUUUUAAAGUGAAGCCAGCAUCCUCCUCGGGGUUUACUGUGAAAAUUAAGUGAGCUGACGCGUGCUGUGUUUUGAUGUUGCUUGGCUCCUACAAACAUUGAGUGGGCCAGACACUGUUCUGAAAAAUACGCAGUCGACUUUUGAACAGCACAGGCUUGAACUGCAUGCGGCCACUAAUACUCGGACUUCCUUCUGCCUCUGCCAUCCCUAAGACAGCAAGACCCACCCCUCCUGCUCCUCAGCCUACUCGAUGUGAUGAUG
rnacentral:lncRNA from 1 species